UGUGAAGCUAAAUCUACAGCAAAUAUUUGCUUUUCUGGUUCUGGCUGUGACAGUAAUUCAGGAAUCCAAUCAAGACAAAUAUGCAUGGAUGGAAUACCAGUAACUGUAAUGGGUAACAGCUCUCUUGGAUAACCCUAUAAGUAAAGAAAUAUGGAAGAAUAUGUAGAGCGGACAAAGGAGAGAUAACAGAACUGAUUCAAAGUCUGGAUUUAUUUCAGAGAAAAGAACCUGACUCUAAAUGCGAGAAGAGCAAAGGUAAACGAAAUUCAAGGGGGCAGAGGAUAGAAAAAUGAAGGAGGAAAAAUGGAAAUGGGAGCAGGAAGUUCGUGUUAGAGAAAGGGUUAGGAAGACGGCGGCGGUAAUGAGGCAAGUAUGUGGAGAGGGGGGAGGGAGAGAUUUGCUGGAAAACAGGAUAUUCGGAAAGAGCUAGUCGAAUAUAAGUAUAUAAUUAUACGAUAAAUUGGUCCUGACGAUAGCAGGAAAUGAAGCGAAGGUAUGGGGGUAGAAGGAGAGAACAGAGGUAAAGAGCUUACAUGAAAGGUGUAUGGCCAGUGUGGAAUGAAACACGCCAGGACAUUUAAUAAGAGAAAAGUUAAAAGGAGACAAGAUGUGAUUGAGAGCAUGAAUGAGGGCAUGGAGGUUUGAAGAAAGGCUGAAGAGAGAGCAGGGUGGAGAUUUGACAAGAAUAUGUCUGGAGGAGGUCAGAAGUAGAGAAGAAGCGGGUAGUGGAAAGGAUAGAUAUAUGGGGGAAAGGGAGAUUGCAUGAAAGAAAAUGGGAAGUGCUAUGUGGGUGAAUGAAGAAAGGGAGGAUGGGGAGAGGGAAAGGCUAGAGAGAGAGAGAGAGAGAGAGAGAGAGAGAGAGAGAGAGAGAGAGAGAGAGAAAGACUUGAAGAAUGAAGGGAGGGGCGGGGAAAGAGAGAAAGAGCGAGAGGGGGGGACGGGUUGGAAAGAACAGUAAAGUUCAAAGUAGGGAGCGAGAUUAGAGAUGGGAAAUAGUGGCUAAGGAAAGAGAAAAAGGAACGCAGGUUAUAUGGAGGAAUGAUGCAGACAAGGGAGCGUGUGUGGGAGGUUUGUGAAGGGUACGAGACAGAUUCAGGGGUUUGACAGGAAAAUGUGGUGAAAAUAUUGGAAAAGGAGGGUGAGGAGGAAGAGUAGAUGUAGAACUUGAAAGAGAAGAGGAUGGAGAGGAUGGGGGGCGGGGGGGUUGAGAAAAGAGAGGCGGAUAGAUGUAGCUUGAAGUGAUUAGUCAGAAGAAAAUAAAGAAUAAGAAUAAUUAAAAAAUAAAGAAUAAAAGAAUAGGAAUAAUUGAUUAAUAAUAUAUUAAUUGCAAGUAGGGUAAGAUUAAGAUGAAUUUUAAACUUAGGUUAAGUUAAUGAAUUUAGUGCUAAGGUAGAGAUAAGGUUUAUAUAAUAAAGUUUAUAAGUAGGUAAUAUUAUACCUGUAAUGUAUACAUGGUCGUAUAUAUAUGUUGUGUGUGUGUGUGUGUGUGUGUGUGCGCGCGCGCGCGCGCGCGCGCGCGCGCGCGUGUGUAUUAUGAUAAUGAUAUGUCAGUAAUUAAUAUUCAAUGUUUAACAUUUUAAUAAGUAAAAAUAAAAAUAAGCAAAUUUGGUUGUACAUACUUGAAAAUGAACCAAUUUAGCCAAUGAUGGGUCUGCUAUGAAGACUUGAUGCAAAUAUGAACAGAUUAUACUU